GCAGCCGCGGUAAUACGGAGGGUGCAAGCGUUGUCCGGAUUUAUUGGGUUUAAAGGGUGCGUAGGCGGUACGCUAAGUCAGUGGUGAAAUCCUGGGGCUCAACCCCGGAAUUGCCAUAGAUACUGGCGUGCUUGAGUUCGACCGAGGCGGUUGGAAUGCGUGGUGUAGCGGUGAAAUGCUUAGAUAUCACGCGGAACACCGAUUGCGAAGGCAGAUCGCUAGGUCGCGACUGACGCUGAGGCACGAAAGUGCGGGGAUCAAACAGGAUUAGAUACCCUGGUAGUCCGCACCGUAAACGAUGGAUACUAGGUGUCCGGCCUUUCGGGGCUGGGUGCCCAAGGGAAACCGAUAAGUAUCCCACCUGGGGAGUACGUCCGCAAGGAUGAAACUCAAAGGAAUUGACGGGGGCCCGCACAAGCGGUGGAGCAUGUGGUUUAAUUCGAUGAUACGCGAGAAACCUUACCUGGGCUAGAAUGCCCUCGACAACCCCGGAAACGGGGCUUUCCUUCUGAACGAGGUGCAAGGUGCUGCAUGGCU
rnacentral:rRNA from 1 species